CCUACGGGAGGCAGCAGUGAGGAAUAUUGGUCAAUGGCCGGAAGGCUGAACCAGCCAUGCCGCGUGAAGGUCAGUGCCCUAUGGGCGUUAAACUUCUUUUGUGCGGGAGCAAUAAUGGUCACGUGUGGCCAGACGAGAGUACCGUACGAAUAAGCAUCGGCUAACUCCGUGCCAGCAGCCGCGGUAAUACGGGGGAUGCAAGCGUUAUCCGGAUUUAUUGGGUUUAAAGGGUUCGUAGGCUGGGAGGUAAGUCAGCGGGGAAAUGCCCCCGCUCAACGGGGUGAAGUGCCAUUGAUACUGCCUUGCUGGAAUGCGGAUGCCGUGGGAGGAAUGUGUGGUGUAGCGGUGAAAUGCAUAGAUAUCACACAGAACACCGAUUGCGAAGGCAUCUCACGAAUCCGCGAUUGACGCUGAGGCACGAAAGCGUGGGUAUCAAACAGGAUUAGAUACCCUGGUAGUC
rnacentral:rRNA from 1 species